GGCCUACGAAUUGGGUUUACUGGGUGAGUUCCAGAUUUCCAGUGAAACCGGGAAAAUGUUGCGCAACGGCAUCAUUCCUCAGUUUCCCUUCCGUGUCCUCUUCUUCCUUUUCCACAUCAAGCUUAGCAAUCUCCACAAAAGGCUUCAUACUCUCUGCGCUUAGUUCCCUCCAUAAAACCCCAAAACCAAAACCCUUCAAAAAUUUUCAAUCUACAGGUCUUAAUUGGCCGCCUAUUUCUUAAUCAUCGCUACCAAGAUGAUACUUAGAAUCCGUAGCAGAGAUGGCGUCGAGCGCGUCUCCAUCGACAGCCCCAACAUUACCGUUUCCCAGCUCAAAAGUCUAAUUCAAAAGCAGCUUCAAAUCCCAAUCCAUAACCAAACCCUAUCUACAAAUCAAAACAUACUGUUGGUUAAAUCCCCUUUGGAUCUUCUCAAAUUCACCGAUAUGUCUGACCCCAAUACCCUUAUUUCUUCCCUAAACAUUGCCCAUGGCUCUAUUGUCUUCUUAGCCUAUGAGGGUGAGAGAACCAUUACAGGACCCACCAUUCAUCCCGCUGGGUCCUUCGGCCGCAAAAUGACCAUGGACGACCUAAUUGCCAGACAAAUGCGAAUUACCAGACAAGAAAAUCCUCAUUGUGAAUGCGUGUCAUUCGAUCAGGAUUGUGCCAAUGCCUUCCAACUGUAUGUUAACGAGAAGCUUGCUUUUGCUGUGAAAAGAGGUGGAUUUAUGUAUGGAACUGUGUCCGAGGAAGGAAAAGUGGAGGUGAAUUUUAUAUAUGAGCCGCCCCAGCAGACUACAGAGGAAAUUCUGAUGCUUUUAAGGGAUCCCCAGGAAGAGAAUUUGGUGGAUGCUAUAGCAGCAGGUUUAGGGAUGAGGAAAGUGGGGUUUAUAUUUACACAGACGAUAACGCAGGACAAGAAAGAUUACACUUUGUCCAACAGAGAGGUUCUGCAGGCUGCAGAACUGCAUGCAGAGAGUGAGUUGAAGGAGUGGGUGACAGCAGUGGUGAAACUGGAAGUGAAUGAAGAUGGUGGAGCCGAUGUGCAUUUUGAGGCGUUUCAGAUGAGUGAUACUUGUAUUAAACUGUUUAAGGAAAAGUGGUUUGAGACAGAGAUUGGGGAGGAUAUGGAUCCUAAGUUGUCAAAAAUGAAUAAGGAUGUUGUUGUUGGAGGAAAGGAUGUUAGGGAGGUUGAUAAUGAUUUUUUCUUGGUCGUGGUUAAGAUAUUCGAUCACAUGGGUCCUCUAUCAUCAUCCUUUCCCAUUGAGAACAGGAUCGGCCAAGUCACAGUGAGGGCAUUGAAGAAUCAUCUGGACCGUACAAAGAAUCUUCCAUUUGUGAAAAGAAUUUCUGAUUUUCAUCUGCUGCUCUUUGUGGCCAGGUUUCUAGAUCUCAAUGAUGUUCCUGCAUUGGCAGAGUGUGUGCAAAAACAGACAACAGUCCCUGAAGGUUACCAGCUCAUAAUUGUUUCCAUGGCAAAUACUUCUUGAAUUGCAAAGAGGCAUGUUAUCCCCUUGUGUUAGUCUCAUAAAAUUGCAAAAAUUGCAAAUUUGGAUCACAUAAUUGGGGUCCUGGGGCAAUCUGUAUUGAUUUCUGCUGCUACUUGGUGGCAAAUAGGGGAUUUGUGACCCAGCGACCUAAAAUUACACACAGUGUCUAUAUGUACGGCCUUGCCUUUGUUGGGAUCUGAUGGUGCUGUGUUUGGGUUUGGAAUGCUGUUGUGUUUGGGCUUGAAUUGCGGUGGAGAAAAAUAUCUCAUGAAUUUGUCAGCUUUUAGAUUCCACUAUUCCUGGGAUAUGUGUGUAUGGGGCCAUUGGUUUUCACUCGUCUCUUAUAGAAUUUUUAAUCAAACGUGGGAGAGAGAGUAUUUUUAAAAUUGUUCAUAUAAAAAUUGAUUCGAUAACAUCUCUCAUAAUGAAUAAAAAUUUUAUUGUCUGGUUCGUGUAGGUUGAUUAUAAAAAUGAGAAAAGUAAAAUAAAAUUUACGAGAAAUAUUUAUGUAGCGUUCACAGGGAUUCGAUCUCAAUAAGUAGUCAUAUUUAUAAACGUGAAAAAAGAUAAGGAAAUGAGUCUUGCAAUACGAGUGUCGGCCACAUCCAUUCCCAGACGGACAACGUUACACAAAGCCGGUGGCUGCAGGUAGAGUGCUACCGCGACGCUCAAAACCCU
rnacentral:misc_RNA from 1 species